CCGGCGUGUGCGGCGCGCGGCCGGCGGACAUGGCAGGCAGCGAUGCGACGGCCGUGGCCGCACCGCGGAGCGUGGAAGCCGAGCGCAUGGAGGGCGGGGACGGAUGCCCGCGUCGUCGUCGCGGUGCCGUGGUCCACCUGCCCGCGGCGAGGUGCUCGAUCUCCUCCAGUUGCGAUGCAGAAUCGAGAAGGCGUAUGGAUCAGCUCGGUCAUGCGAGGACCGGAGACAUAUCUGCUAGCUGUCCCUGAGCAAAUGUCCUUGCCCGUGCACAGCACAUUUGGCUGCACUCACUCUGUCACUCAGGAGGAAAAAAGGUAUGUCGAAAUUACACCUUUCUAUUUGGGCGUUUAGAUUUACACUCGACAAAACGAAAUGCUUGCAGUCAUUCAAUCCAAAUACAUCCAACCAAAUCAUAUUUCUAGCUUCCUAGGUGGUUCAGAUUUCUGCUAAUAUAUGGACAUCUGGACUGACAAGUCACAGCUGUCUGUGUGUGUGCAUAUAUGACUGGCUAUAUUGCAUCGGAAUGGAUCAGAAACGGACACAACAAAGGGCACUGAAGCCUCCUGGUUUCACACGGGAAGAGGCUUUUUCAUCCAGGUGGUAGUUUUCUUCGUCCUCUCGGUUCUCCUACAUGCCGAUUUGGUUGGCGGAGGCGAUGCUCUAGCAACACAUACCUAAAGUACUCUCUCUGGUUGGCUUACACGGCCGGCCCCUCCGUGGUGAUCUACACCCUUGGUCUCAUGCGGUCAUCUACAUUCCAUUGCGAUAUGUUUUACAUAUGGACCCUGUCCUUGCUCAUGGCCCUGGGAAGCACAAACUCCAUGACCGCCUUUAGCGUUGACGACAACAAGCAAUACAUGAGGCAUUUCAUCCAACAGGAUCUGUAUGUGCUGAUGUUUUUAUCUAUUUUGAAGAUUGGUGUAUCGGAGAUUACAACCUUCCAGUCUUUGUGAGACUCAUCGAAUUAUUAUUAUACAUUCUGACGAUUUCUAUUAAUGUUGGAAGGAUUUAUGCUAGUAUGUCUGCAAGCAGUUUCUUGGACAAGCAAACCAGCAAUGUUGAAGAUCACAUGAAGAGUGAGCACAAAGAAUCAACCAAUUAUGAUCCUGUCACCCUGCAAGGUUACAAUUACCUUGUCUGCGAGCGGAUCGAUUCUCCUACAGAAAUUACAGUCAGCCAGAUCUGGCUUUCCAGUUUCCAAUGAGGGUCCGUUCAGCAGCAGUGAUAGUGAACAAUUAAAGAGGGCCUGCCUUUCGUAUGCCUUAUUCCGGCUUUUGAGGCGGAGUUUCUUUGGGAUUGCUUGUCCUGAAUCCACGCUUCAGAAAACACAUGACCUUAUUCUGAAAGGACUGCUGGUGGAUGUAGAAAAUAACUAUGAAGCUGCAUAUAGGGUAAUUGAGGCCGAGUUGGCUUUCAUUCACGAUCACUUCUUCACCAGCUCUGCUUCCUUCAAUACUAAACUAAGCAGAUUGAUCAUCCUUCUUAGUAUUGGGAAAGUUUGUGCAUACCCUUUGAUAGCAGUAUUGCUGAUUCGAACCUUUAUCCACAAUAAUGACAAAAUUAGAAGCAGCAAAACACAAGUGGUGCCUGUGCGACUAUCUGUUGCAAUCCUCAUUGCAGUAAUCAUGAUAGUGUUUUCAAUACUAGAGCUUCUACAGCUUUAUCUGUAUUUGUCAUCUGAUUGGGCGAAGAUACAACUUGUUUGCUUUUACAUAUCUGGGAAAAGCAUUCAAUGCGGAGCUUAUAUGUUUUAUAAUAAGCUUCCCAGGAUAUUGGGAUAUUGGCAGCACAAAAUUGGCCAGCACUCACUACUGAAAGAUUUGCAUGGUCGAUCAUUCAUUACUGACAUUAUGGGAUCAGUGUCCGGGUGAUUCUUCAGGCUUUUUGAGUAUCAUUAUGCGAGUUUUCAUGAAAGGGAUCCGGCUUGGGAAGCAGCUCAAAGAGAUUAGACAUCAUAUGCGCUGGAAGGUACUAGCAGAUUUCUGGACUGAGAUGAUAUUGUACAUAGCUCCAUCAGACAAUGCAAAAGCUCAUAUUGAGCAUCUAGCGAAUGGAGGGGAGUUUCUGACCCAUCUUUGGGCCUUGAUUUUCCACACUGGCAUUGUAAACAGAGAUGAAUUCAGCCAUGACAUAGAAAAUGCAGCAACUGACUAGAGUAAUCAAGAAGUCCAAGACUGAUGCCGCAUUUGUGGUGAUCACGGAGUAGACGAUUACCCCAGUUGUAAUGCCAGAUCCAAGCCCAGGUCGGGAUGAAGAUGCUGAAUAACUCGAUGCUGCUUGUCUUUGGUUUUGAGUUUCUGGAUGUUAGAUAGAAACUACUACCUCUGUGAAGUUCUUACUCUGUUUCCUUGAGUUUU